rnacentral:rRNA from 1 species
AUGUCAACCCACCACCACCACAGCCUCAGCAGCAAUGCCGUCCCCCGCGACAUCCCCAAGCCCGCCUCCGCCGACGAGCUCGCCAAGAAUGGCAAGAAGAAGAAGUCCUUCAUGUCCAACAUCUUCCGCAAGAAGGGCCGCAGCGGCGCCGGCAGCUCCGACAAGCGCCCUCCCUCCCGCCGAGACCGAGACUUCCUCUUCGAUUUGGAAGAGAAAUACGGCGAGAGGGCGGACUCCGCGACGGCGAGGGCGGAGGAGUUCCUGGACGCGUCCCCCGCCGUCCGCAAAAGCGUCUCAGAUCGGCAUUGCGCGACGCGGAUCGAGAGCCUGACCCUGAGCUGCCUCGACUCGCCCAACAGGAACGUCGACACACGGGAGUACAGGGUGUUCGUGGGCACGUGGAACGUGGGCGGGAGGCCCCCUAACAGCAGCCUUAACCUAGAGGAUUUUCUCCAGAUAGAAGGGCUACCCGACAUAUACGUCCUAGGGUUCCAGGAGAUCGUGCCGCUGAACGCGGGCAACGUGCUGGUGGUGGAGGACAACGAGCCGGCGGCCAAGUGGCUGGCGCUCAUCUACCAGGCGCUGAACAAGCCCCAGCAGCAGCAGCAGCGCCAGCAGCAGGCGCAGGCGCAGGCGCAGCAGGACCAGCCGUCGUCCGGCGACGAGCUGUCGCCGACGGAGUCCGUCGCCUCCUCCUCCUCCUCCCGGGCCCGCCCGUCCAUCCCCAGGUCCUCCAGCAGCGGCGCGCUCCUCUUCCAGAAGCCGACCCUCAAGGCGCUCAGCAAGAGCUACCGCGUCAACAGCGCGCUCGUCAAGACCUGCACCUGCAUGGCCGACCCCUCCACCAUGCACCGCCGCGCCAGGGAGAUGCGGGACUUCAUCUACCGCGUCGAGGCCUCCACGUCCAGCGCCGACGACCCGGACCCAUCCUGCUCCUCCUCCUCGUCGGCGAUGAUGACGCCCGCGGGACCCGAGGCCGGCGGCGGCAUGAACUACUGCCUGAUCGCGAGCAAGCAGAUGGUGGGCAUCUUCCUGUCGGUGUGGGUGCGGCGGGAGCUGGUGCAGAACAUCGGCCACCUCCGGGUGGACUCCGUGGGGCGCGGCAUCAUGGGCCGCCUCGGCAACAAGGGCUGCAUCGCCAUGAGCAUGACGCUGCACCAGACCAGCGUGUGCUUCGUGUGCAGCCACCUGGCCUCCGGCGAGAAGGACGGCGACGAGGUCCGCCGCAACUCCGACGUCGCCGAGAUCCUCAAGAGCACCCAGUUCCCCCGCAUCUGCAAGGUCCCCGGCCAGCGCAUCCCCGAGAAGAUCAUCGACCACGACCGGAUCAUAUGGCUCGGGGACCUGAACUACCGGGUGGCGCUCAGCUACGACGAGACCAGGGUGCUGCUGGAGCAGAACGACUGGGACACCCUGCUGGAGAACGAUCAGCUGAUGAUCGAGAGGCAAGCAGGACGGGUGUUCAAGGGGUGGAAGGAGGGCAAGAUCUACUUCGCGCCGACGUACAAGUACAAGCUCAACUCCGACACCUACGCCGGCGAGACGACCAAAUCCAAGAGGAAAAGGAGAACACCCUCAUGGUGCGACCGGAUACUGUGGCACGGCAAGGGGAUAGAGCAGCUGCAGUACAUCAGGGGGGAGCACCGGUUCUCCGACCACCGGCCCGUCUGCAGCGUCUUCGUGGUCGAGGCCGACGCCGACAACGGGAGCAGGAUCAGGAAGGGCUACUCCACCCUGGACUCCAGGGUUCAUUGCGAGUCGCCGUUGCCGAUACCGCAGAGACACAGCUUCUAUGACUUUUGA